UACGGAGGAUGCGAGCGUUAUCCGGAUUUAUUGGGUUUAAAGGGUGCGUAGGCGGUAUGGUAAGUCAGCGGUAAAAGCCCGGGGCUCAACCCCGGCGAGCCGUUGAAACUGCCGUGCUAGAGAGGAAGAGAAGUAGGCGGAAUGCGCAGUGUAGCGGUGAAAUGCUUAGAUAUUGCGCAGAACUCCGAUUGCGAAGGCAGCCUACCGGCUUCUGUCUGACGCUGAGGCACGAAAGCGUGGGUAUCGAACAGG
rnacentral:rRNA from 1 species